ensembl:lncRNA
ACCCACAGCUGCCUGUUGGCCAAUCACCAUUUGACUAGUCUAGGAAGAGCAACUGUGGCAGGCCUGAUUUCCUGGGAGGCCCCAGACUCCCUUUGCCUACCUCUUCCUCUCUGACCCCAUCCUUGCUUCGAUGUCCGGGACCUGCUACCCAGGCACCUGGGUCCUCUCUGCCGGAUGUGGACAUCUUGGCCUCUUGCCUUAGUGCCUGUUCUUGGGAAGCGGGUCCAGACGUCUCUUCUGCAGGAGGAGAGGAAGGGUUAAUUACAGGUGUUGGGGUUAACUAAAGCCUUUGACCAAGAGGAUAGGAGGAGAGCCUUGGUCCUCUGAGAGCCUGUGAGUGUGCAAGUGCCUGUGAGAAUAAGUGCAUGUGUGUGACGGUGUGAGAUUGUGUUGAAUGUGCAUGCAUGUGUGUAGACAUGAGAGUGUUGAUGUAUGUAUGACUGUGUGUGUGUGUAUGGACAUAAGUGUUGUAUGUGACCAGGCAUGGCGGCUUACGCCUGUAAUCCUAGCACUUAGGGAGCCCGAGGCAGGCAGAUCAUUUGAGGUCAGGAGUUCGAGACAUGCCUGGCCAACAUCGUGAAACCCUGUCUCUACUAAAAAUACAAAAAAAUUAGCUGGGCAUGGUGCCACUCACCUGUAAUCCCAUCUACUAAGGAGGCUAAGGCUGGAGAAUCACUUGAACCCCGGAGGCAGAGAUUGCAGUGAGCGGAGAUUGCACCACUGCACUCCAGCCUGGGCCAGCAAGACUCGGUCUCCAAAGAAAAAAAAAAAAAUUGGUAUAUGUGUGUAUGAGUGUGUGUGCAUGGGCAUGAGAGGAUUUAGGUAUGAGUGUGUGUGAGUGUGUAUUUGAAUGUGUGGAUUGUGUGGAUGUGUCUAGAUGUGUGUAUGAAUGUGCAUGUGGGUGUGAGAGAUUUGUGUAUGAGUGCAUGCGAGUGUGGAUUUGUGUAUGCAUGUAUUUGUGAGUGUGCCAUACUUCGCAGUAGUUGUGGAGUGAGUCCGCGAGUUUCUGAACAAGUUAUUUCACUUUUCUGAGUCUCAGUUUGCUCACUGGGAAGAUGUAAAGCCUGUUUCGGAGAGUUACUGUAAAGAUCAAAUAAAGUCAUGCAUGUAAACUCCGGGGGCCAGAACUACAGAAAGCACGCAUGAAAUCUCAGCUGUUACUGGGUUACACACAGUUCAGCAACAGGAAGCCACAUCCAUGGAGAGCCGGGCAUGUGUUGUGCCCGGGGCUCUGCGGACAGGCACAUGGGGUGUGUGGAUGAGUGUGAGCAUGUGUGUAGUAUGUGGUUUGGAUAAGUGUUUUGCAUGUUGUAUUGGAGCCUCUGAGCUAGGGGUACUGGUGUGUGUAAGACUCCAUGUGAGUUGCGUGGAAGCCACUGCUUGUACAUGUAUGUUAUAUGCCAUUUGCAGGCUCCAUCUGUCAGAUGUGUCACUAGAGGACACACUGCAGGAGGACAGGGAUGUUUGUAGAAAACAGGCAGUUCCUGGGCCAGACACGGUGGCUCAUGUCUGUAAACCCAGCACUUUGGGAGGCCAAGGCAGAUAGAUCACUUGAGGUCAGGAGUUCGAGACCGAGCUUGUCAUCAUGGUGAAAUCCCAUCUCUACUAAAAAUACAAAAAUUAGCCAGGCGUGGUGGCGCACACCUGUAAUCCCAGCUACUCGAGGUGGAGGCUGGAGAAUCGCUUGAACCCAAGAGGCGGAGGUUGCAGUGAGCCAAGACCGCGGCACUGCACUCCAGCCUGGGUGACAGAGUUAGAGUCAAAAAAAAAAAAAAAA